UCCAAACAUGAUCUCAAGGGGGCAAGACAACCCGCUAGACUUAAGCAUAUUAAUCAGCGGAGGAAAAGAAACUAACAAGGAUUCCCCUAGUAACUGCGAGUGAAGAGGGAUCAGCUCAACGUGUGAAUCUGACUUGGUCUAACACCUUGUCCGACUUGUGCACUAUUGACACUGGCUCAGCGUAUAAAUGCUAAAGGCGGAUGUCCGAUGAAACACGGCACCAUAGUGGGUCACAGUCCUAUACAUGCCUAUUGGUGUUUACGCAUAUGACCAGUGCUCAUCGAGUCGUGUAGUUUUGUAUUGCUGCACUAAUUGGGAGGUAGAGCCCUUCUAAAGCUAAAUAUUAUGGCAUGACCGAUAGCAAACAAGUACCGUGAGGGAAAGGUGAAAAGCAACCAUGCAGAAUGGGUUGAAAGAGUAGUGAAAGUGCUACCGGGAUAAGGGCUAGUGAUUGCAAGUGCAGACUGCAUGUGCUUUAGUGCUAUGCAAACUGCCGUCAUGCAUCGAUUGG
rnacentral:rRNA from 1 species